rnacentral:tRNA from 1 species
GGAUGUGGCUCAGGGGCAGAGCACUUGCCCAGUGUGCGCAAGGCCCGGGGUUCAAUCCCCAGCACCA